rnacentral:misc_RNA from 1 species
UACAUAGGGUGCAAGCGUUAAUCGGAAUUACUGGGCGUAAAGCGCUCGUAGGUGGUUUGUUAAGUUGGAUGUGAAAGCCCCGGGCUCAACCUGAGAACUGCAUUCAAAACUGGUAAGCUAGAGUACGGUAGAGGGUGGUGGAAUUUCCUGUGUAGCGGUGAAAUGCGUAGAGAUAGGAAGGAACACCGGUGGCGAAGGCGACCGCCUGGACUGAUACUGACACUGAGGUGCGAAAGCGUGGGGAGCAAACAGG